CCUACGGGAGGCAGCAGUGGGGAAUUUUGGACAAUGGGGGCAACCCUGAUCCAGCAAUGCCGCGUGAGUGAAGAAGGCCUUCGGGUUGUAAAGCUCUUUUGUCAGGGAAGAAACACCGGCUCUAACACAGUCCGGGAAUGACGGUACCUGAAGAAUAAGCACCGGCUAACUACGUGCCAGCAGCCGCGGUAAUACGUAGGGUGCAAGCGUUAAUCGGAAUUACUGGGCGUAAAGCGUGCGCAGGCGGUUAUACAAGACAGGCGUGAAAUCCCCGGGCUUAACCUGGGAAUGGCGCCUGUGACUGUAUAGCUAGAGUGUGUCAGAGGGGGGUAGAAUUCCACGUGUAGCAGUGAAAUGCGUAGAUAUGUGGAGGAAUACCAAUGGCGAAGGCAGCCCCCUGGGAUAACACUGACGCUCAUGCACGAAAGCGUGGGGAGCAAACAGGAUUAGAUACCCUGGUAGUCCACGCCCUAAACGAUGCUGACUAGUUGUUCGGGAUUUACAUCCUGAGUAACGUAGCUAACGCGUGAAGUCAGCCGCCUGGGGAGUACGGUCGCAAGAAUGAAACUCAAAUGAAUUGACGG
rnacentral:rRNA from 1 species